UGGGGAAUCUUCCGCAAUGGACGAAAGUCUGACGGAGCAACGCCGCGUGAGUGAAGAAGGUUUUCGGAUCGUAAAACUCUGUCUUUUGGGGCGAACGUGAGUAUGGUGAACAAUCAUAGUCAGUGACGGUACCAAAGGAGGAAGCCACGGCUAACCACGUGCCAGCAGCCGCGGUAAUACGUAGGUGGCAAGCGUUGUCCGGAAUUAUUGGGCGUAAAGAGCGCGUAGGCGGGAUAGUCAGUCUGUUGUAAAAGUGCGGGGCUCAACCCCGUGAUGGCAAUGGAAACAGCUAUUCUUGAGUGCAGGAGAGGAAAGUGGAAUUCCCAGUGUAGCGGUGAAAUGCGUAGAUAUUGGGAGGAACACCAGUGGCGAAGGCGACUUUCUGGACUGUGUCUGACGCUGAGGCGCGAAAGCCAGGGGAGCGAACGGGAUUAGAUACCCCGGUAGUCCUGGCCGUAAACGAUGGGUACUAGGUGUGGGAGGUAUCGACCCCUUCCGUGCCGGAGUUAACGCAAUAAGUACCCCGCCUGGGGAGUACGGUCGCAAGACUGAAACUUAAAUGAAUUGACGGGGUCAUAGCU
rnacentral:rRNA from 1 species